CGCGUAGGCGGUGCGGUAAGUCACCUGUGAAAUCUCCCGGCUUAACUGGGAGUCUGCAGGCGAAACUACCGUGCUGGAGUGUGGGAGAGGUGCGUGGAACUCCCGGUGUAGCGGUGAAAUGCGUAGAUAUCGGGAGGAACACCUGUGGCGAAAGCGGCGCACUGGACCAUAACUGACGCUGAUGCGCGAAAGCUAGGGGAGCAAACAGGAUUAGAUACCCUGGUAGUCCUAGCCCUAAACGAUGAUUGCUUGGUGUAGCAGGUACCCAAUCCUGCUGUGCCGCAGCUAACGCGAUAAGCAAUCCGCCUGGGGAGUACGGUCGCAAGGCUGAAA
rnacentral:rRNA from 1 species